GGACGGGAAUUACAACCAGGAUACGAAUUUGUUGAAUUAUUUUCAGUUUCUCAAAUGUUCAGUUUAAAGAGUUACUUUUUUGAAUCUGUGCGUCAAUCAAAUAACGCUUGCUUGGUGGAGUUGUCACACUUAUUCAUGACAAGUGGCACGUAACUGAAGCCAGUGAUCGUGAGGUUAUUACUAUUUUAUUCAGCAGCGUAUUUGUAAUCUUAACUUUUACAUUUCUUUAAACUUUAAAAGUGAUUUCGUUUUCAUAAAUUAUGCAGUUUCUGUCAAGAUUCUUAUUUUUUCUGAUUUUGUAAAAACUUUUACCCACAUAAAUUGUGGUCUUUUCUGUAAAAUUUCUAUGCAGUUUAUUUUAUUAACUUUUCAUAAAUGCUUCCACUUUGGGUAAACUAAAUAUAAUAAAUAAAUGAAACAAUGACAAGUUUUAAGGCACAAUUACAGCACAUUUUAUAAUAUAGUAGAUUGCAACAAAAUGUAGAUCUAUAAAGGUUAACAAACAAUAGCCUGGCAUUGCUUGCACCACUUUUCACAGGUGUUUAUUUAACUUAUAUUUGACAAACACUAUAAAAAA